rnacentral:rRNA from 1 species
ACUCCUACGGGAGGCAGCAGUGGGGAAUAUUGGACAAUGGGGGGAACCCUGAUCCAGCCAUGCCGCGUGUGUGAAGAAGGCCUUAUGGUUGUAAAGCACUUUAAGCGAGGAGGAGGCUCCUGUAGUUAAUACCUACAGUGAGUGGACGUUACUCGCAGAAUAAGCACCGGCUAACUCUGUGCCAGCAGCCGCGGUAAUACAGAGGGUGCGAGCGUUAAUCGGAUUUACUGGGCGUAAAGCGUGCGUAGGCGGCUUUUUAAGUCGGAUGUGAAAUCCCCGAGCUUAACUUGGGAAUUGCAUUCGAUACUGGGAAGCUAGAGUAUGGGAGAGGAUGGUAGAAUUCCAGGUGUAGCGGUGAAAUGCGUAGAGAUCUGGAGGAAUACCGAUGGCGAAGGCAGCCAUCUGGCCUAAUACUGACGCUGAGGUACGAAAGCAUGGGGAGCAAACAGGAUUAGAUACCCUGGUAGUCCAUGCCGUAAACGAUGUCUACUAGCCGUUGGGGCCUUUGAGGCUUUAGUGGCGCAGCUAACGCGAUAAGUAGACCGCCUGGGGAGUACGGUCGCAAGACUAAAACUCAAAUGAAUUGACGGGGGCCCCCACAAGCGGUGGAGCAUGUGG